rnacentral:rRNA from 1 species
GACGAACGCUGGCGGCGUGCCUAAUACAUGCAAGUCGAACGAACUCUGGUAUUGAUUGGUGCUUGCAUCAUGAUUUACAUUUGAGUGAGUGGCGAACUGGUGAGUAACACGUGGGAAACCUGCCCAGAAGCGGGGGAUAACACCUGGAAACAGAUGCUAAUACCGCAUAACAACUUGGACCGCAUGGUCCGAGUUUGAAAGAUGGCUUCGGCUAUCACUUUUGGAUGGUCCCGCGGCGUAUUAGCUAGAUGGUGGGGUAACGGCUCACCAUGGCAAUGAUACGUAGCCGACCUGAGAGGGUAAUCGGCCACAUUGGGACUGAGACACGGCCCAAACUCCUACGGGAGGCAGCAGUAGGGAAUCUUCCACAAUGGACGAAAGUCUGAUGGAGCAACGCCGCGUGAGUGAAGAAGGGUUUCGGCUCGUAAAACUCUGUUGUUAAAGAAGAACAUAUCUGAGAGUAACUGUUCAGGUAUUGACGGUAUUUAACCAGAAAGCCACGGCUAACUACGUGCCAGCAGCCGCGGUAAUACGUAGGUGGCAAGCGUUGUCCGGAUUUAUUGGGCGUAAAGCGAGCGCAGGCGGUUUUUUAAGUCUGAUGUGAAAGCCUUCGGCUCAACCGAAGAAGUGCAUCGGAAACUGGGAAACUUGAGUGCAGAAGAGGACAGUGGAACUCCAUGUGUAGCGGUGAAAUGCGUAGAUAUAUGGAAGAACACCAGUGGCGAAGGCGGCUGUCUGGUCUGUAACUGACGCUGAGGCUCGAAAGUAUGGGUAGCAAACAGGAUUAGAUACCCUGGUAGUCCAUACCGUAAACGAUGAAUGCUAAGUGUUGGAGGGUUUCCGCCCUUCAGUGCUGCAGCUAACGCAUUAAGCAUUCCGCCUGGGGAGUACGGCCGCAAGGCUGAAACUCAAAGGAAUUGACGGGGGCCCGCACAAGCGGUGGAGCAUGUGGUUUAAUUCGAAGCUACGCGAAGAACCUUACCAGGUCUUGACAUACUAUGCAAAUCUAAGAGAUUAGACGUUCCCUUCGGGGACAUGGAUACAGGUGGUGCGUGGUUGUCGUCAGCUCGUGUCGUGAGAUGUUGGGUUAAGUCCCGCAACGAGCGCAACCCUUAUUAUCAGUUGCCAGCAUUAAGUUGGGCACUCUGGUGAGACUGCCGGUGACAAACCGGAGGAAGGUGGGGAUGACGUCAAAUCAUCAUGCCCCUUAUGACCUGGGCUACACACGUGCUACAAUGGAUGGUACAACGAGUUGCGAACUCGCGAGAGUAAGCUAAUCUCUUAAAGCCAUUCUCAGUUCGGAUUGUAGGCUGCAACUCGCCUACAUGAAGUCGGAAUCGCUAGUAAUCGCGGAUCAGCAUGCCGCGGUGAAUACGUUCCCGGGCCUUGUACACACCGCCCGUCACACCAUGAGAGUUUGUAACACCCAAAGUCGGUGGGGUAACCUUUUAGGAACCAGCCGCCUAAGGUGGGACAGAUGAUUAGGGUG